rnacentral:rRNA from 1 species
AACAAACGCUGGCGGCGUGCCUAACGCAUGCAAGUCGUACGAGAAAGGGUCCUUCGGGGCCUGAGUAAAGUGGCGCACGGGUGAGUAACGCGUGGAUAAUCUGCCCUUCAGUUGGGAAUAACUCAUCGAAAGGUGGGCUAAUACCGAAUAAUGCUGUGAGACCUCGGUUGAUCAGCCAAAGAGAGCCUCUGCUUGCAAGCCCUCGCUGAAGGAUGAGUCCGCGUACCAUUAGCUAGUUGGUAUGGUAAUGGCCUACCAAGGCGACGAUGGUUAGCUGGGUUGAGAGGAUGAUCAGCCACACUGGAACUGAGACACGGUCCAGACUCCUACGGGAGGCAGCAGUGAGGAAUCUUGCGCAAUGGGGGCAACCCUGACGCAGCAACGCCGCGUGAGUGAGGAAGGUCUUCGGAUCGUAAAGCUCUGUCGGAUGGAAAGAACCGCAUAGGGGUAAACAGCCCCUGUGUCUGACGGUACCAUCAAAGGAAGCACCGGCUAACUCCGUGCCAGCCGCCGCCGUAAAAC